ACCAGGGGUGGUGGUGCACCUGUAGUCCCAGCUCCUGGGGGGAGGUUGAGGCAGGAAGAUGGCUUGAGUUCAGGAGUUUGAGAGCAGCUUGGACAACACAGCAAGACCCCAUCUCUA
rnacentral:SRP_RNA from 1 species